rnacentral:rRNA from 1 species
GGGUAGAGCACUGUUAAGGCUAGGGGGUCAUCCCGACUUACCAACCCUUUGCAAACUCCGAAUACCAGUAAGUACUAUCCGGGAGACACACGGCGGGUGCUAACGUCCGUCGUGGAGAGGGAAACAACCCAGACCGCCAGCUAAGGUCCCAAAGUAUUGCUAAGUGGGAAACGAUGUGGGAAGGCUCAGACAGCUAGGAUGUUGGCUUAGAAGCAGCCAUCAUUUAAAGAAAGCGUAAUAGCUCACUAGUCGAGUCGGCCUGCGCGGAAGAUGUAACGGGGCUAAGCAAUACACCGAAGCUGCGGCAAUGUCUUUUAGACAUUGGGUAGGGGAGCGUUCUGUAAGCCGUUGAAGGUGAAUCGUAAGGUUUGCUGGAGGUAUCAGAAGUGCGAAUGCUGACAUGAGUAACGACAAAGGGGGUGAAAAACCUCCUCGCCGGAAGACCAAGGGUUCCUGUCCAACGUUAAUCGGGGCAGGGUGAGUCGACCCCUAAGGUGAGGCCGAAAGGCGUAAUCGAUGGGAAACGGGUUAAUAUUCCCGUACUUCUGACUAUUGCGAUGGGGGGACGGAGAAGGCUAGGUGGGCCAGGCGACGGUUGUCCUGGUUCAAGUGCGUAGGCUUGAGAGUUAGGUAAAUCCGGCUCUCUCUAAGGCUGAGACACGACGUCGAGCUACUACGGUAGUGAAGUCAUUGAUGCCAUGCUUCCAGGAAAAGCCUCUAAGCUUCAGAUAGUCAGGAAUCGUACCCCAAACCGACACAGGUGGUCGGGUAGAGAAUACCAAGGCGCUUGAGAGAACUCGGGUGAAGGAACUAGGCAAAAUGGUACCGUAACUUCGGGAGAAGGUACGCUCUUGAUGGUGAAGUCCCUCGCGGAUGGAGCUGACGAGAGUCGCAGAUACCAGGUGGCUGCAACUGUUUAUUAAAAACACAGCACUGUGCAAAAUCGCAAGAUGACGUAUACGGUGUGACGCCUGCCCGGUGCCGGAAGGUUAAUUGAUGGGGUUAGCGCAAGCGAAGCUCUUGAUCGAAGCCCCGGUAAACGGCGGCCGUAACUAUAACGGUCCUAAGGUAGCGAAAUUCCUUGUCGGGUAAGUUCCGACCUGCACGAAUGGCGUAAUGAUGGCCACGCUGUCUCCACCCGAGACUCAGUGAAAUUGAAAUCGCUGUGAAGAUGCAGUGUACCCGCGGCUAGACGGAAAGACCCCGUGAACCUUUACUACAGCUUGGCACUGAACAUUGAACCUACAUGUGUAGGAUAGGUGGGAGGCUAUGAAGACGUGACGCCAGUUGCGUUGGAGCCGUCCUUGAAAUACCACCCUUGUAUGUUUGAUGUUCUAACUUAGACCCAUUAUCUGGGUUGAGGACAGUGCCUGGUGGGUAGUUUGACUGGGGCGGUCUCCUCCCAAAGAGUAACGGAGGAGCACGAAGGUGGGCUAAUCACGGUUGGACAUCGUGAGGUUAGUGCAAUGGCAUAAGCCCGCUUAACUGCGAGAAUGACGGUUCGAGCAGGUGCGAAAGCAGGUCAUAGUGAUCCGGUGGUUCUGUAUGGAAGGGCCAUCGCUCAACGGAUAAAAGGUACUCCGGGGAUAACAGGCUGAUACCGCCCAAGAGUUCAUAUCGACGGCGGUGUUUGGCACCUCGAUGUCGGCUCAUCACAUCCUGGGGCUGAAGUCGGUCCCAAGGGUAUGGCUGUUCGCCAUUUAAAGUGGUACGCGAGCUGGGUUUAGAACGUCGUGAGACAGUUCGGUCCCUAUCUGCCGUGGGCGUUGGAAGAUUGAAGGGGGCUGCUCCUAGUACGAGAGGACCGGAGUGGACGAACCUCUGGUGUUCGGGUUGUGUCGCCAGACGCAUUGCCCGGUAGCUAAGUUCGGAAUUGAUAAGCGCUGAAAGCAUCUAAGCGCGAAGCGAGCCCUGAGAUGAGUCUUCCCUGACAGUUUAACUGUCCUAAAGGGUUGUUCGAGACUAGAACGUUGAUAGGCAGGGUGUGUAAGCGUUGUGAGGCGUUGAGCUAACCUGUACUAAUUGCCCGUGAGGCUUAACCAU